CGCACGGUGGAUGCCUUGACACUAGGAGUCGAUGAAGGACGGGACUAACGCCGAUAUGCUUCGGGGAGCUGUAAGUAAGCUUUGAUCCGAAGAUUUCCGAAUGGGGAAACCCACCAUACGUAAUGGUAUGGUAUCCUUAUCUGAAUACAUAGGGUAAGGAAGACAGACCCAGGGAACUGAAACAUCUAAGUACCUGGAGGAAGAGAAAGCAAAUGCGAUUUCCUGAGUAGCGGCGAGCGAAACGGAACAUAGCCCAAACCAAGAGGCUUGCCUCUUGGGGUUGUAGGACAUUCUAUACGGAGUUACAAAGGAACGAGGUAGACGAAGCGACCUGGAAAGGUCCGUCGUAGAGGGUAACAACCCCGUAGUCGAAACUUCGUUCUCUCUUGAAUGUAUCCUGAGUACGGCGGAACACGUGAAAUUCCGUCGGAAUCUGGGAGGACCAUCUCCCAAGGCUAAAUACUCCCUAGUGAUCGAUAGUGAACCAGUACCGUGAGGGAAAGGUGAAAAGCACCCCGGAAGGGGAGUGAAAGAGAUCCUGAAACCGUGUGCCUACAAAUAGUCAGAGCCCGUUAACGGGUGAUGGCGUGCCUUUUGUAGAAUGAACCGGCGAGUUACGAUCCCGUGCGAGGUUAAGCUGAAGAGGCGGAGCCGCAGCGAAAGCGAGUCUGAAUAGGGCGUUUAGUACGUGGUCGUAGACCCGAAACCAGGUGAUCUACCCAUGUCCAGGGUGAAGUUCAGGUAACACUGAAUGGAGGCCCGAACCCACGCACGUUGAAAAGUGCGGGGAUGAGGUGUGGGUAGCGGAGAAAUUCCAAUCGAACCUGGAGAUAGCUGGUUCUCCCCGAAAUAGCUUUAGGGCUAGCCUUAAGUGUAAGAGUCUUGGAGGUAGAGCACUGAUUGGACUAGGGGUCCUCAUCGGAUUACCGAAUUCAGUCAAACUCCGAAUGCCAAUGACUUAUCCUUAGGAGUCAGACUGCGAGUGAUAAGAUCCGUAGUCAAAAGGGAAACAGCCCAGACCGCCAGCUAAGGUCCCAAAGUGUGUAUUAAGUGGAAAAGGAUGUGGAGUUGCUUAGACAACUAGGAUGUUGGCUUAGAAGCAGCCACCAUUUAAAGAGUGCGUAAUAGCUCACUAGUCGAGUGACUCUGCGCCGAAAAUGUACCGGGGCUAAAUACACCACCGAAGCUGCGGAUUGAUACCGAAUGGUAUCAGUGGUAGGGGAGCGUUCUAAGGACAGUGAAGUCAGACCGGAAGGACUGGUGGAGUGCUUAGAAGUGAGAAUGCCGGUAUGAGUAGCGAAAGACGGGUGAGAAUCCCGUCCACCGAAUGCCUAAGGUUUCCUGAGGAAGGCUCGUCCGCUCAGGGUUAGUCAGGACCUAAGCCGAGGCCGACAGGCGUAGGCGAUGGACAACAGGUUGAUAUUCCUGUACCACCUCUUUAUCGUUUGAGCAAUGGAGGGACGCAGAAGGAUAGAAGAAGCGUGCGAUUGGUUGUGCACGUCCAAGCAGUUAGGCUGAUAAGUAGGCAAAUCCGCUUAUCGUAAAGGCUGAGCUGUGAUGGGGAAGCUCCUUAUGGAGCGAAGUCUUUGAUUCCCCGCUGCCAAGAAAAGCUUCUAGCGAGAUAAAAGGUGCCUGUACCGCAAACCGACACAGGUAGGCGAGGAGAGAAUCCUAAGGUGUGCGAGAGAACUCUGGUUAAGGAACUCGGCAAAAUGACCCCGUAACUUCGGGAGAAGGGGUGCUUUCUUAACGGAAAGCCGCAGUGAAUAGGCCCAAGCGACUGUUUAGCAAAAACACAGCUCUCUGCGAAGCCGUAAGGCGAAGUAUAGGGGGUGACACCUGCCCGGUGCUGGAAGGUUAAGGAGAGGGGUUAGCGUAAGCGAAGCUCUGAACUGAAGCCCCAGUAAACGGCGGCCGUAACUAUAACGGUCCUAAGGUAGCGAAAUUCCUUGUCGGGUAAGUUCCGACCCGCACGAAAGGUGUAACGAUUUGGGCACUGUCUCAACCAGAGACUCGGUGAAAUUAUAGUACCUGUGAAGAUGCAGGUUACCCGCGACAGGACGGAAAGACCCCGUGGAGCUUUACUGUAGCCUGAUAUUGAAUUUUGGUACAGUUUGUACAGGAUAGGCGGGAGCCUUUGAAACCGGAGCGCUAGCUUCGGUGGAGGCGCUGGUGGGAUACCGCCCUGACUGUAUUGAAAUUCUAACCUACGGGUCUUAUCGACCCGGGAGACAGUGUCAGGUGGGCAGUUUGACUGGGGCGGUCGCCUCCUAAAAUGUAACGGAGGCGCCCAAAGGUUCCCUCAGAAUGGUUGGAAAUCAUUCGUAGAGUGCAAAGGCAUAAGGGAGCUUGACUGCGAGACCUACAAGUCGAGCAGGGACGAAAGUCGGGCUUAGUGAUCCGGUGGUUCCGCAUGGAAGGGCCAUCGCUCAACGGAUAAAAGCUACCCCGGGGAUAACAGGCUUAUCUCCCCCAAGAGUCCACAUCGACGGGGAGGUUUGGCACCUCGAUGUCGGCUCAUCGCAUCCUGGGGCUGUAGUCGGUCCCAAGGGUUGGGCUGUUCGCCCAUUAAAGCGGUACGCGAGCUGGGUUCAGAACGUCGUGAGACAGUUCGGUCCCUAUCCGUCGUGGGCGUAGGAAAUUUGAGAGGAGCUGUCCUUAGUACGAGAGGACCGGGAUGGACGCACCGCUGGUGUACCAGUUGUUCUGCCAAGGGCAUAGCUGGGUAGCUAUGUGCGGAAGGGAUAAGUGCUGAAAGCAUCUAAGCAUGAAGCCCCCCUCAAGAUGAGAUUUCCCAUAGCGUAAGCUAGUAAGAUCCCUGAAAGAUGAUCAGGUUGAUAGGUUCGAGGUGGAAGCAUGGUGACAUGUGGAGCUGACGAAUACUAAUAGAUCGAGGACUUAACCAU
rnacentral:rRNA from 1 species